rnacentral:rRNA from 1 species
GACGAACGCUGGCGGCGUGCUUAACACAUGCGAGUCGAACGGAAAGGCCUCUUUCGGGGGGUACUCGAGUGGCGAACGGGUGAGUAACACGUGAGUAACCUGCCCUUGACUUUGGGAUAACUUCAGGAAACUGGGGCUAAUACCGGAUAGGAGCUCCUGCUGCAUGGUGGGGGUUGGAAGGUUUCGGCGGUUGGGGAUGGACUCGCGGCUUAUCAGCUUGUUGGUGGGGUAGUGGCUUACCAAGGCUUUGACGGGUAGCCGGCCUGAGAGGGUGACCGGCCACAUUGGGACUGAGAUACGGCCCAGACUCCUACGGGAGGCAGCAGUGGGGAAUAUUGCACAAUGGGUGGAAGCCUGAUGCAGCAACGCCGUGUGCGGGAUGACGGCCUUCGGGUUGUAAACCGCUUUCGCUCAUGACGAAGCUUUGUGUGACGGUAGUGGGUAAAGAAGCACCGGCUAACUACGUG